CAACAGGCUUCCGUACCUUGUCAAUUCCCAAUGCAGUGAAGCAGGCUAGCUUAGUUAAAGUACAAAGCCAGCAGUCAUAACUUAACUUCCAUAGAGUUUGGAGAAUAUAUGCCUAUGUACCAAAUUCCUGCAGAGGAGUUGAGUCACCGUCAUCCAUCAUCCGGCGGGAGACAGACAGGAUGGGAGAUGCUGCCCUCUGCCGGACAACCUCCGUAACUGCAGGUCACCUCUAAUUCAAUCUAUGAACUUCCAUCCAUCCAUUUCCUACCGCUUAUUCCCUUUUGGGGGCGCUGGUGCCUAUCGCAGCUACAAUCGGGCGGAAGGCGGUGUACACCCUGGACAAGUCACCACCUCAUCGCAGGGCCAACACAGACAGACAACACUCACAUUCACACACUAGGGCCAAUUUAGUGUUGCCAAUCAACCUAUCCCCAGGUGCAUGUCUUUGGAGGUGGGAGGAAGCCGGAGUACCCUAAGGAAACCCACGCAGUCACGGGGAGGACAUGCAAACUCCACACAGAAAGAUCCCGAGCCCGGGAUUGAACCCUGACUACUCAGGACCUUCGUAUUUUGAGGCAGAAGCACUAACCCCUCUGCCACCAGGAAGCCCAAAAAAGAGUCAUAUCUUUUUUAAUUUUUUUUUGGUCCUCUCCAGCUUUUCCGGCAAAUCCUAUAAUUGAUGUAGAGUAUUAUCUUUUAGACACAGAACAGGGCGAUUUGGCGUAGGGAAGCGAUACAACAUAUAUCACACGAGGACUGUUACUUAAACUUACAUUGUUGGACGAGAAAUUACUACAAGAAACAUUUUGCCACGACACUAACUACACAAAAGUAAAGAAAAAGCAAAGAGACAUAAAAGUAUUCAAAGGCAAACAUUUUAUUAAAUUCCUUCACAAAAAAAAAAAAGUGAACUGCAGCAAUUAAGGCAAAAAUAUAUAUUUUGACAAUCAGGAUGCUGGAUCCAUUUAUUUAUUGAAUGUUUUUGUAUUAAUAAACCGUCUUUGAAUUCUGCUUUAUAUUUAUUUACAUUUAUAUAUAUAUAUGUACAUA